CUGUUGACAUAAACUUUGCAUAAGUCGUCAUUAUUCAGCCGCAGCAAGUUCUUGCGAAAAAGGGUCAUCGGCUUCCCAUUUUGACGGGAUAGAGGCAUAUUUUGUUGAACCACACAAACGGUGAGAAGAGGUAGAAAUAAAGAGGGGGAUUGCAACUGGAAGGAGAUGGAAGUCCACAAACUCUGCCAAUGUGUGCCAUUGAACAAGAAAUCUCUUUUAGUAUGAAGAUUGUUCAAGAGUCAAGACUGUUGAAGACGUGACGUCAUGGACCUGGUUGCACAUGGCAAGUGAACUAUCUGGCUGUACCCUGAAGUAUUCUCUUUAAGAUUUGAAAAUUAUCAAAAGUACUAAUUUUCAUUUUUUCAGAGAUAAUAAUCAUUAUAUUGACAUUGUGGAUAUCUUUUUAUGAUUGUUAUCAUAAAAUUAUUAUGUUAAUGAUGAUAGGUCAUAAUAAUACAAAUGAAUAAUAAGUAGAAAAGAAGACAACCAAAAAGGAGGAGGAAAAGAAGAAGAUGAAGAAGAAAAAGAAGAGGAGGGGUGGAAGAGGAGAAAAGGAGAAGAAGAAUAAAUAACAUCACUGUGAGUUCCUCUUCAUGAUAUUACAUAAAUUUUUGUCUCUUUUAAAUGGAAAUAUUUAUUAAGCAUAAAAAUAGGAUUUAGUUAUUCUUGUUUUUUAAGAUGUAUUAUUAUGUAUCAUGUUUGUAGUUGUACACUUGAUUGAGGUACAUGUAUUGUAUUCAUUUAUGAUAUAACUAUGUUUUAUUUGAAUCCAUGUACCUCUUUAAAUCAUAUUUAUACAGUCAUGAUUAAAGGACAUGGGAAAGGUAACAAAAUUGCAUUGUUUUACAAAUUUUACUGUGUAUUUAUUUUAAAAGUAAUAAAUUUACAUAAAAUGUCAUUCUUUUUGUUUCAUCUCUUUGUUCGUUUUUUUAUUGAAUCGGGAGGGGGUGGGGUGUGGUUAAAAUAUGAUUUGCCCCUCAGAACACACUUGUUUCCCUACUAGAAAUAGUAAUUAAUAUUUGUAGAAAAUUGUAUGAUUGUUUUUUUAUGAACUCUGAAUAUUGUCCCAUAAAUUGUCAAAUUAGGAAAAUAAUUGAUUGAGAUGAAGAUUUGAAGUAGCAAGGGCGAGAAAUUAAAAGGAAAUUUCAUAUAAAAGUGAGAAAGAUCCAGAGAUGCAAAGAUUAUACUGUAUAAGGAAUAAUGAGAGAGAAAGGGGGGGCGAGGUGAAUUAGAAUGGGAAAAGGGAAAGAAAAAAAAACUAUGAAUGUGAAGGAGUCAUUAACAGAGAUAGAUAUAUUGAGAAUUGGAGAGAUAAGUUCCGAGAAUGAUAGUGGGCCAAUCUCGGAGGGAGGAUGAUAAUGAAAGGGGAAAAGAGGAUAAAGCAUUUUUUUUGGGGGGGGGAUUACAUUUGAUGAGAGAGAGAUAGAAAGAAAAUGGCCAGGUGCUCAAAGAUGAAAAAAUAUAAAUGAUGGGUGACAGAGGUAUGGAUCAAGGGAUAUAGGUGGCAUGAACGUGCCCCAAUUUAGGGACAAAGCUUUGAUGAGUAGUGGUCCCUCAUGUUCACUCCUCUUGGAAUUUGGACAAUAAGUGGGCAUUUUUUUAAAGUCCCCCCCCCCCCCCUAACUCGCUCUAUCUCCAAUUGCCAGUUUUGGGCAAGAAAAACCCCUUUUUUUAUUCUAUCUUGGCAAAAAACCCAAACCAUCUGAUUAGACCUUUGGUCGGA